CUCUACUGUGCACUUCAGCAGGGGAGAGGUAUGCUGUGGCUGCAGGGAGUUCAUGCUCUUCCAGCAAGUCAAGCUGGGGUCACCUUGAUUCCACCUCCAUCUCAGGACAAAAAGGGAGGUGCAUUAAGAUGAAAAUAUUAUUUUGUGGAAGUUUCAGUGUGUUGUCCUGGACUCAGUGCUGAAAAUACAGCAGUAAAACCAUUCCUCUCUCUGCACAUAACUUGGGCAAGGACUGGAUGCUUAAGGAAGAUAACAGAUUUGAUGAAGAAAUUCAGAAACACAAAACUGACAAAUGAAAUAAACAAGUUUAUCGUAUUUCCUGUAUGAAAGCAUAAAGAGGAAAGUUUCAAAGGAAACAACUUUCAAGUGACAGAACAUGUAAGAACAUGUGAUUUAAACAAGUUUACGAAGUGAUUUAAAUACAGGCUUUUAAGUUGGCUGGAUGAUCUCUACUCAGUUCUUUAAAGAUUCUGAACUGUUUUGUUCAAUGACAGAAAUGAUUUAACUUUAUUAAUAACUUUAUUAUGUUAGUUAAACAAACUGAAACAUAACGAAAUAGAUAAAAAGAAGAAAAAGAAAACCUCAACAACUUAAAUCCAUCAACACCCAGCAAAGA